CGAAACGUAGUCAUUCGCAUACACUGACACACCGGAUGGAUGGCGAUACUUACAUGCAUGGAUAACAUAGUGGAUGGUGUCAACCGCCGAGUCAGCAGAUUUAUAUUAUAAAAAGGUAGUGACCGCGUGACUCGUUCUCUUUUUUCCUGAAGGCGUCUGAUCAACUACCGGUGGUAGAGGUAUAGUGUAGUGAAUAAAGUGGUUGUAAAUUAGAAUUAAAGUUUUUAAAAAGUUGAAGAAGUUCCUGCCGAACUUAAGUGGUGUCAGAAGUGGGAUCGUGAAGGUGUUAAAAUAGAGGAAACAGUCCCGCCGCACGAUCGAGAAAACCCGGAUGCAGACUUCAAGACUGUUUUAGCAGACACAUAUUUCACCAGGAAGAAUACACUGAGGACCAGCUAUUGUAAAUUUUAAAAAAAUAUUUAGCUCCCGGAAUGACAAACGGAAUCUUUGCCCAUCCGUCGGUUGCAAAAUCGUGCUUCAAAAUCAUAAAUGACAAUUUUAAAGGGAUGAAAGUUCAAUUUUGCAACCUGAAAUUACCAGAUUUAAUAACCAAAAAAGACCAAGACGAAUUUGGUCGUAAAACGCACAACUUUAACCAUAGAAGUUGGAAGCUUAAUUACGAAGAACUUCGUCAAUCAGUCUUUUUCCCGGAUAUGAUAUCGAUUGUUAAGAACUUCGCGAAAAAUUGCCAACACUGUAAAUUUGCCAAAUACGAACGGCAUCCAUUUAAAAUUCCAAUCACGCGAAGAACAUAUGAUAAACCUUUAGAGAAUAUCUUUAUAGACGUAUACGUCAAGGAAGGAGAGAAGUUCUUAACAGUCAUCGAUUCAUUUUUAAAUUUGCACAACUUUACAAAAUCAGUAGCGAAACAAGCGAAGAGUUAAUCGAAACUCUCAUUAAAUACUUCAAAACGUUUGGAAUACCAAAAUUGAUCACUUGUGAUCAAGCUACAUCAUUUCGGAGCCAAAAUUUCAAAACCUUUUUGGAAGAAAACGGUGUUGCCGUUCACUAUGCUAGUAGCAGCAAUAGUAAUGGCAUCAUCGAGAGGUUCCAUAACAUGUUUAUGUUUAUGGCAAACCGAAGCAAAAUCAAUAACCUAACUCUGUACCAAGGACUUUCACUUAUAACAGCACUGUAUAACGACGCAAAGCAUACGACAACGAAUCUCACACCAAGACAAAUAAUCUUCGGAAAUUCGACUUCACUAGACUUGAAGGACAUAAACAUGAUGAAACAACAAAUAAUACAAACUGCCAAAGACAAUAUUGCCAGAAUAGCUACCAGACAUAAUUCAAAAUUAGUAGAAACGGACAAAGACUAUCAAGACAUCAAAAACAAAGAAAUUCUUGCCAAAACUAAAGCCAAAUCAUCUCCAUAUAGCAAUAGAUAUAGACUGGUCGAGGUAAAGGAACAGAAUGACAAAACAAUUACCGACACAACGGACAUCAAAAUUCAUAAGAAAAAAUUAAAACUCUAAUGGGAUUGACGAGGUAUGUUGCUUUUUCUGACUUUAUUUCAGACUAUGUUUCCUAUUCUGGACAUCUACAGCUUGGACAGACAUCCGCAUUUACGACCUGACUAAUAAUCCCAUAGCAAUCAUACCUCUCGGACAGGCCAGGAUUAGCAACAGUUAUAUCAGAGUAAUUCAUCCCGUAAAUUUAACAGCCAUAAAAGAUGCUAUAGAUUUGUUUGACUAUGUAACUAAAAAUUCUGAUUUAAAUAAUUCACUUUUCGAUCAAGUUAUUAGAAAAAAGAUAAAUAAAAUACACUUAACG
rnacentral:lncRNA from 1 species